rnacentral:rRNA from 1 species
AAUGAACGCUGGCGGCGUGCUUAACACAUGCAAGUCGUACGAGAACUCUUUAGCUUGCUAAAGAUAGUAAAGUGGCGUACGGGUGAGUAACACGUGGGUAAUCUACCUCCGAAUUGGGGAUAACAUUGCGAAAGCGAUGCUAAUACCGAAUAAUAUCUUUUUAGCCCCGGCUUAAAAGAUCAAAGGUGGUCACUACAUGUAAACUACUGUUUGGAGAUGAGCCCGCGCACCAUUAGCUUGUUGGUAGGGUAAUGGCUUACCAAGGCUUCGAUGGUUAGCUGGUCUGAGAGGAUGAUCAGCCACACUGGAACUGACACACGGUCCAGACUCCUACGGGAGGCAGCAGUGAGGAAUUUUGCGCAAUGGGGGAAACCCUGACGCAGCAACGCCGCGUGAGUGAUGAAGGCUUUCGAGUCGUAAAGCUCUGUCAAGUGGGAAGAACCUAAAAUAUGAUAAUACCAUAUUUUACUGACG